UACGGGGGGGGCAAGCGUUGUUCGGAAUUACUGGGCGUAAAGGGCUCGUAGGCGGCCAACUAAGUCCGACGUGAAAUCCCCAGGCUUAACCUGGGAACUGCGUCGGAUACUGGAUGGCUUGAAUCCGGGAGAGGGAUGCGGAAUUCCAGGUGUAGCGGUGAAAUGCGUAGAUAUCUGGAGGAACACCGGUGGCGAAGGCGGUUCUCUGGGCAUUACCUGACGCUGAGGAGCGAAAGUGUGGGGAGCGAACAGG
rnacentral:rRNA from 1 species